rnacentral:tRNA from 1 species
AUUGAAAUAUUAUAAAAAAAACUUCUAACUUUUUAAAAAGCAAUAAUUUGUUUAU